rnacentral:rRNA from 1 species
AUGUGCUGUACCAGCCCUGCCAUGCCAAACAAAGAUGGAUCUUGGCGCAUGUGUAUGGACAGUAGAGCCAUGAAUAAGACCACCGUAAGGUAUAAAGUCCCUAUUCCCCGUUUGGAUGAUAUGUUGGAUCAGCUUACUGGAGCAAGAGUGUUCACAAAGGUAGUUUUAAGAAGCGGAUAUCAUCAAAUUCGUAUCAGACCCGGGGAUGAAUGGAAAACAGCCUUCAAGACAAAGGAAUGGUUGUUUGAAUGGCUAGUCAUGCCAUUUGGACUUUCAAAUGCACCAAGUACCUUUAUGCACUUGAUGAAUCAAGUCCUUCAACCCUUCUUAUCCCACUUUGUUGUGGUCUAUUGCGAUGACAACUUGAUCUAUAGCAGGAAUGAGGAUGAACACUUUGAUCACAUUCGGAAGGUGCUAGAAGUACCAAGGAAAAAUGAACUCUACGUCAACUUGAAGAAAUGUGUUUUCGUGCAUACACAACUUUUCCCCCUAGGAUUCGUAUAA